GAUUUCUCUUUCAUUGUGUUCUCCGAGAUUCAAUCUUCUUAACACAACAAGCAGGAGACUAGGUUUGUCUAGAAACUGUAGAACUCUGCGAAUCAGUUGUUC
rnacentral:sRNA from 1 species